AUUCCAUGUUGAGGACACUUCCUAAGUGAUCAUUUGAAUCAUUCCUAUGCCUCGUACAAAGAUUCGCUUUAUUUUUGUUCAAAAGCUGUGAUCUCCGCCUUGAGUCU